rnacentral:lncRNA from 1 species
CAUGCCCAGAGAGCAGCGUAUUCACUCGUGUGUUAUUAAUAAGAGCUUCGUCUGUCUGGAGCUUUUUAUUAACUGGUGAUUCUGGUUUGGGAGAAUAUGAACGUCAACAUCAGCAACUUUAAGGAGCAGAGAAGGGCGAGCACAGAAGAAGCACCUUACAUGGAGAUGAAGACAAGUUUCGGUAACAAGGAGAACAUCAAACCUGCUAAAACACAACCUUCACAACUCAAACAGACCAAAGAAGAGAGUUUUGGCCUCAGUUUACCUCUUGGAGAGGAAUAUGAAAGAAAAAAGCAAAAGUUAAAGCAAGAACUUCGUCUUGAUUACCGGCGCUUCAUGUCUGAGAAAAAAAAAUCAAAUUAUUGCUGA